rnacentral:lncRNA from 1 species
AUGAAGACUCAGGCUUCACAUGUGCGUCUGAGCCACUGCAACGCCUCUUCUGCCACAUCGCCUGAAGUUCAGCCAAACUUCACGUUUAAGCAAUACACAAAGCAGGCAGUGAGAAAGCACCGAUCUCUCCUGCUGAACCGGGAAAAGGGCGGUGCUGAGCGCCGGUGCGGGACGCUGCGGGAGCCACGCACCCGCAGGGGUUGGGACGCGGGGUCACGGCUGCGGCCCCCUCGAGCUGCCGAGCCCCACCCGCCUCCUCGGUGGCCCUGGCAGCGCCUCCCGAGCCGCAGCAGCACGCGGAGCCCCGGACACCGGGAUGGGACCUCCGGGACAGACCGAUGCGAGGGAGAACCUAAGGGGCACGGCUCAGAGGCGCGGGUGGAGGACAGGGAUCUCCGGGAAUUGGACAGAGGAACAGUCUGCGAAGACCACAGCCGAACACGAGCGGCUCCGGGAAAGGGCCGGGCAGGCCCAACCGGCCCCGGGGCCGCGAGGAGGCGCCAAGGCUUGGCCGGGCCCAGGCGCACCACGAGGCUCCGCUGGGGCCGGGCCAGAGCGGUCCCGAGAGCCGCGAACGAGCCUCGCCCGGGGACAUGCGGGGCCAGGACACUGGGAAAGGGAGGGGAGCAGCGCCGCGGUGAGGCCCAGGAGGGGCGGGAGGGGGGAGUGGGCAGAGCCAGGGCGAGGCGGCUGCGGAGGGCCCAGAGAGGAGGGAGGGUAAGAGAAGCUCCCGGUGGCGGCGGGCGGGGCGGAGCAGGGACCCCGCGGACCCCACCCAAUGCCCCUGCACUCACCGGCGCCGCUUCGCCGCGGCCCCUCCGCAGCAGGCACCCCCUCCGCCUCCGUGUCACGCACUUCCGGUCCGCGCUCGCGCUCUGCCCGCCCGCGGGGGCCGCCGGGAGCCGUAGUCCGGCCCGAGUAGCGCGCCCGGGAUCCGGCGGCUCCGCCGCACUACAGCUCCCGGCAGGAGCCGCGCGCACCAUCCGUCACUUCCGCCUCCGGCCGUGGCGCGGCAGUGCGCACGGCCCUUCCGGCGGGGAGCGGGACCGCGGGCGGGAAAUGGCGGCGGAGGCGGUGACGGGGCGCGUCCGCCCAGCCAGGCCCGGCCCGGCCUGGCUUUCUCUGCCGCGCGGGCGGCCAAGGCGCGGCGCUGCCCUCGCCGAAGGGGCCUUGCGGGGCUUCUCCCGUCCAGUCCCGCGCUCCCGGUUUGUCCCAUGCGCAGCUCCUGAGGGCCCAGGAGGGAAGGCCCUGCAUGCUAGUGGGGCAGCCAGGAUGAGGUUUCUCCCCAUCGCCGGGACGGAGCUGAUGGACCAGGCAGUGCUGGGGGCUCCGGGGGCGAACUGCCCCGCUGCUGUGGAGGCCGGGAGAGCGUCCUGCCCUGCCUUGCCUGGCGGAGCACCGAGGCGCGGGCACCGACCCGCCCAGUCCCUUCCCCGGACACAGAGAGGCACGCUGAGGGCAUUGUCCACUUUUAAUUGUUGUCAAAGGUUGUCUGGAUGCAUAACACUGUCACAAGGGCACAGAGCAGCGUGGUGCCGGCCGGGCCCGGGGACACUGAACACACGAACAUGUGGGGGAACGCGGCGACAGGGAGCUAUGACACGGCCCCCGCCCCAAGCCCCUCAGAGCAUCCCCACGCCCGGCCGGCUCUAUUUACAGUAUUCACAGACGUUGUACCAGAGAGUUAAAUAA